GCUGAUGUGGCCGAGUGGUUAAGGCUAUGGACUUCUAAUCAAUUGUGCUAUGCAUGCAUGGGUGCGAAUCCCAUCCUCAUCA